rnacentral:rRNA from 1 species
UGGUCCAGGUAGCUGCCUUCGCCAUGGAUGUUCCUCCCGAUCUCUACGCAUUUCACUGCUACACCGGGAAUUCCGCUACCCUCUACCACACUCUAGUUGUCCAGUUUCCACUGCAGUUCCCAGGUUGAGCCCAGGGCUUUCACAACAGACUUAAACAACCACCUACGCACGCUUUACGCCCAGUAAUUCCGAGUAACGCUUGCACCCUUCGUAUUACCGCGGCUGCUGGCACGAAGUUAGCCGGUGCUUAUUCUUUGGGUACCGUCAUCCCAACCAGGUAUUAGCCGGCUGGAUUUCUUUCCCAACAAAAGGGCUUUACAACCCGAAGGCCUUCUUCACCCACGCGGUAUGGCUGGAUCAGGCUUGCGCCCAUUGUCCAAUAUUCCCCACUGCUGCCUCCCGUAGGAGUCUGGACCGUGUCUCAGUUCCAGUGUGGCUGAUCAUCCUCUCAGACCAGCUACGGAUCGUCGCCUUGGUGGGCCUUUACCCCGCCAACUAGCUAAUCCGACAUCGGCUCAUUCAAUCGCGCAAGGCCCGAAGGUCCCCUGCUUUCACCCGUAGGUCGUAUGCGGUAUUAGCGUAAGUUUCCCUACGUUAUCCCCCACGAAAAAGUAGAUUCCGAUGUAUUCCUCACCCGUCCGCCACUCGCCACCCAAGGAGCAAGCUCCUCUGUGCUGCCGUUCGACUUGCAUGUGUUAGGCCUACCGCC